UAAGCGGAGGAAAAGAAACUAACAAGGAUUCCCCUAGUAACGGCGAGUGAAGCGGGAAGAGCUCAAAUUUGAAAUCUGGUAGCCUUCGGCUGCCCGAGUUGUAAUCUAGAGAAGUGUUUUCCGUGCCGGCCCAUGUACAAGUCCCUUGGAACAGGGCGUCAUAGAGGGUGAGAAUCCCGUCCUUGACAUGGACCCCCGGUGCUUUGUGAUACACUUUCAACGAGUCGAGUUGUUUGGGAAUGCAGCUCAAAAUGGGUGGUGAAUUCCAUCUAAAGCUAAAUAUUGGCGAGAGACCGAUAGCGAACAAGUACCGUGAGGGAAAGAUGAAAAGCACUUUGGAAAGAGAGUUAAACAGUACGUGAAAUUGUUGAAAGGGAAACGAUUGAAGUCAGUCAUGCUCUUUGGAUUCAGCCGUUCUGCGGUGUAUUUCCAUUGAGUGGGGUCAACAUCAGUUUUGACCGCUGGAUAAAGGCACUAGGAAGGUAGCACUCUCGGGUGAACUUAUAGCCUAGCGUCAUAUACAGUGGUUGGGACUGAGGAACGCAGCAUGCCUUUAUGGCCGGGAUUCGUCCACGUACAUGCUUAGGAUGUUGACAUAAUGGCUUUAAACGCCCGUCUU
rnacentral:rRNA from 1 species